UAGCAAUACCGAAGGAAGUCUAGCGGCGAACGGGUGCUUAACACGUGGGCAACCUGUUAAGAAGUGGGGGAUAGCUCGCCGAGAGGCGAAUUAAUACCGCAUGUGAUUAGAGAGGACAUCCUUUCGAAAUUAAAGUCGGGGCAACCUGACGCUUUUUGUGGGGCCCGCGGCCUAUCAGCUAGUUGGUGAGGUAACGGCCCACCAAGGCUUUGACGGGUAGCUGGUCUGAGAGGACGACCAGCCACACUGGGACUGAGACACGGCCCAGACACCUACGGGUGGCAGCAGUCGAGAAUUUUUGACAAUGGGGGAAACCCUGAUCGAGCGACGCCGCGUGGAGGAUGAAGGUCUUCGGAUUGUAAACUCCUGUCAUUGGGGAACAAGUCGCUUACGUUAACUGCGUGAGCGUUGAUAGUACUCGAAGAGGAAGAGACGGCUAACUCUGUGCCAGCAGCCGCGGUAAUACAGAGGUCUCAAGCGUUGUUCGGAUUCAUUGGGCGUAAAGGGUGCGUAGGCGGCGCGGUAAGUCGGGUGUGAAAUCUUGGAGCUUAACUCCGAAAACUGCAUUCGAUACUGCCGUGCUUGAGGACUGGAGAGGAGACUGGAAUUUCUCGGUGUAGCA
rnacentral:rRNA from 1 species